rnacentral:rRNA from 1 species
GGAGCCUGCGGUUUAAUUGGACUCAACGCCGGGCAGCUCACCGGAUAAGACAGCUGGAUGAUAGCCGGGCUGAAGAUUCUGCUUGACUAGCUGAGAGGAGGUGCAUGGCCGUCGUCAGUUCGUACUGUGAAGCAUCCUGUUAAGUCAGGCAACGAGCGAGACCCACGCCAACAGUUGCCAGCAUGUCCUCCGGGAUGAUGGGGACACUGUUGGGACCGCCUCUGCUAAAGAGGAGGAAGGAAUGGGCAACGGUAGGUCAGCAUGCCCCGAAUUAUCCGGGCUACACGCGGGCUACAAUGGUCAGGACAAUGGGUAUCGACACCGAGAGGUGGAGGCAAUCUCCUAAACCUGUCCUUAGUUCGGAUUGUGGGCUGCAGCUCGCCCACAUGAAGCUGGAAUCCGUAGUAAUCGCGUUUCAAAAUAGCGCGGCGAAUAUGUCCCUGCUCCUU